AUUGAACGCUGGCGGCAUGCUUUACACAUGCAAGUCGAACGGUAACAGGUUAAGCUGACGAGUGGCGAACGGGUGAGUAAUGCAUCGGAACGUGCCCGAUCGUGGGGGAUAACGCAGCGAAAGCUGCGCUAAUACCGCAUACGAUCUAAGGAUGAAAGCGGGGGACCGUAAGGCCUCGCGCGAUUGGAGCGGCCGAUGUCAGAUUAGGUAGUUGGUGGGUAAAGGCUCACCAAGCCGACGAUCUGUAGCUGGUCUGAGAGGACGACCAGCCACACUGGGACUGAGACACGGACCAGACUCCUACGGGAGGCAGCAGUGAGGAAUAUUGGACAAUGGGCGCAAGCCUGAUCCAGCCAUGCCGCGUGCAGGAUGACGGUCCUAUGGAUUGUAAACUGCUUUUGUACAGGAAGAAACACCUCUACGUGUAGAGACUUGACGGUACUGUAAGAAUAAGGAUCGGCUAACUCCGUG
rnacentral:rRNA from 1 species